GUGGGGAAUUUUGGACAAUGGGCGCAAGCCUGAUCCAGCAAUGCCGCGUGCAGGAAGAAGGCCUUCGGGUUGUAAACUGCUUUUGUACGGAACGAAACGGUCCUGGUUAAUACCUGGGGCUAAUGACGGUACCGUAAGAAUAAGCACCGGCUAACUACGUGCCAGCAGCCGCGGUAAUACGUAGGGUGCGAGCGUUAAUCGGAAUUACUGGGCGUAAAGCGUGCGCAGGCGGUGCUGUAAGACAGGCGUGAAAUCCCCGGGCUCAACCUGGGAAUUGCGCUUGUGACUGCAGUGCUGGAGUACGGCAGAGGGGGAUGGAAUUCCGCGUGUAGCAGUGAAAUGCGUAGAUAUGCGGAGGAACACCGAUGGCGAAGGCAGUCCCCUGGGCCUGUACUGACGCUCAUGCACGAAAGCGUGGGGAGCAAACAGGAUUAGAAACCCUAGUAGUCC
rnacentral:rRNA from 1 species